rnacentral:rRNA from 1 species
AUUGAACGCUGGCGGCAGGCCUAACACAUGCAAGUCGAGCGGAUGAAGGGAGCUUGCUCCUGGAUUCAGCGGCGGACGGGUGAGUAAUGCCUAGGAAUCUGCCUGGUAGUGGGGGAUAACGUCCGGAAACGGGCGCUAAUACCGCAUACGUCCUGAGGGAGAAAGUGGGGGAUCUUCAGACCUCACGCUAUCAGAUGAGCCUAGGUCGGAUUAGCUAGUUGGUGGGGUAAAGGCCUACCAAGGCGACGAUCCGUAACUGGUCUGAGAGGAUGAUCAGUCACACUGGAACUGAGACACGGUCCAGACUCCUACGGGAGGCAGCAGUGGGGAAUAUUGGACAAUGGGCGAAAGCAUGAUCCAGCCAUGCCGCGUGUGUGAAGAAGGUCUUCGGAUUGUAAAGCACUUUAAGUUGGGAGGAAGGGCAGUAAGUUCAUACCUUGCUGUUUUGACGUUACCAACAGAAUAAGCACCGGCUAACUUCGUG